CACAAGUUAUGUUGUGUUAUCGACAAGUGAAUUCAUAGCUUGUCAGAAGGCAGACCCGGAGAACUGAAACAUCUUAGUACCCGGAGGAAGAGAAAGAAAAUUCGAUUCCCUGAGUAGCGGCGAGCGAAACGGGAAGAGCCCAAACCAAUAAGCUUGCUUAUUGGGGUUGUAGGACACUCUAUACGGAGUUACAAAGGAAUAUAUUAAACGAAUCAUCUGGAAAGUUGAAUCAAAGAAGGUAAUAAUCCUGUAGUUGAAAAUAUAUUCUCUCUUGAGUGGAUCCUGAGUACGACGGAGCACGUGAAAUUCCGUCGGAAUCUGGGAGGACCAUCUCCUAAGGCUAAAUACUCUCUAGUGACCGAUAGUGAACCAGUACCGUGAGGGAAAGGUGAAAAGUACCCCGGAAGGGGAGUGAAAGAGAACUUGAAACCGUGUGCUUACAAGUAGUCAGAGCCCGUUAAUGGGUGAUGGCGUGCCUUUUGUAGAAUGAACCGGCGAGUUACGAUCUGAUGCAAGGUUAAGCAGAAAAUGUGGAGCCGUAGCGAAAGCGAGUCUGAAUAGGGCGUAUAGUAUUUGGUCGUAGACCCGAAACCAGGUGAUCUACCCAUGGUCAGGUUGAAGUUCAGGUAACACUGAAUGGAGGACCGAACCGACUUACGUUGAAAAGUGAGCGGAUGAACUGUGGGUAGCGGAGAAAUUCCAAUCGAACUUGGAGAUAGCUGGUUCUCUCCGAAAUAGCUUUAGGGCUAGCCUCAAGUGAUGAUUAUUGGAGGUAGAGCACUGUUUGGACGAGGGGCCCCUCUCGGGUUACCGAAUUCAGACAAACUCCGAAUGCCAAUUAAUUUAACUUGGGAGUCAGAACAUGGGUGAUAAGGUCCGUGUUCGAAAGGGAAACAGCCCAGACCACCAGCUAAGGUCCCAAAAUAUAUGUUAAGUGGAAAAGGAUGUGGCGUUGCCCAGACAACUAGGAUGUUGGCUUAGAAGCAGCCAUCAUUUAAAGAGUGCGUAAUAGCUCACUAGUCGAGUGACACUGCGCCGAAAAUGUACCGGGGCUAAACAUAUUACCGAAGCUGUGGAUUGUCCUUUGGACAAUGGUAGGAGAGCGUUCUAAGGGCGUUGAAGCAUGAUCGCAAGGACAUGUGGAGCGCUUAGAAGUGAGAAUGCCGGUGUGAGUAGCGAAAGACGGGUGAGAAUCCCGUCCACCGAUUGACUAAGGUUUCCAGAGGAAGGCUCGUCCGCUCUGGGUUAGUCGGGUCCUAAGCUGAGGCCGACAGGCGUAGGCGAUGGAUAACAGGUUGAUAUUCCUGUACCACCUAUAAUCGUUUUAAUCGAUGGGGGGACG
rnacentral:rRNA from 1 species